GCCUCGGUAGCUCAGCUGGUAGAGCGACGGCCUGAAGAGCCGUGCGUCGCAGGUUCGACCCCUGCCCGAGGCACCA
rnacentral:tRNA from 1 species